rnacentral:lncRNA from 1 species
UAUCAUCUUUUGUACUUGAUUAUUAUAGUUGUAUUAAAGAUGUUUAAAUGAAUGAUGUAAAUAUUUUAUGUUUAAUUACAAAAAGGUUAUAUUUGGAGAUAUCAUGUGAUGUAAAAGAGAAGAAAUGAUGUUAAAGAAAAGAAUGUAAAUGUAUAAGUUGUAUGCAUGUAUGUGAUUUAAAGUUAAUCAUAUUACUUGUAU